GUCUUUGUAGUAUAAAUAAUACACUGGUCUUGUAAACCAAAGAAGGAGAACAAUUAACCUCCCCAAGACU
rnacentral:tRNA from 1 species